UCCAGACUCCUACGGGAGGCAGCAGUGAGGAAUAUUGGUCAAUGGGCGAGAGCCUGAACCAGCCAAGUCGCGUGAGGGAAGACUGCCCUAUGGGUUGUAAACCUCUUUUGUCAGGGAGCAAUUGGCGCUACGUGUAGCGUUAUCGAGAGUACCUGAAGAAAAAGCAUCGGCUAACUCCGUGCCAGCAGCCGCGGUAAUACGGAGGAUGCGAGCGUUAUCCGGAUUUAUUGGGUUUAAAGGGUGCGUAGGCGGAAUAUCAAGUCAGCGGUAAAAAUUCGGGGCUCAACCCCGUCGUGCCGUUGAAACUGAUGUUCUUGAGUGGGCGAGAAGUAUGCGGAAUGCGUGGUGUAGCGGUGAAAUGCAUAGAUAUCACGAAGAACCCCGAUUGCGAAGGCAGCAUACCGGCUCCACACUGACGCUGAGGCACGAAAGCGUGGGUAUCGAACAGGAUUAGAUACCCGAGUAA
rnacentral:rRNA from 1 species